rnacentral:rRNA from 1 species
UACGGGGGGGCAAGCGUUGUCCGGAUUUAUUGGGCGUAAAGAGCGUGUAGGCGGCUAGGUAGGUCCGUUGUGAAAACUCGAGGCUCAACCUCGAGACGCCGAUGGAAACCAUCUAGCUAGAGUCCGGAAGAGGAGAGUGGAAUUCCUGGUGUAGCGGUGAAAUGCGCAGAUAUCAGGAAGAACACCCGUGGCUAAGGCGGCUCUCUAGUACGGUACUGACGCUGAGACGCGAAAGCGUGGGGAGCGAACAGG